rnacentral:rRNA from 1 species
GACGAGCGCUGGCGGCGUGCCUAAUACAUGCAAGUUGAGCGCUGAAGGUUGGUACUUGUACCAACUGGAUGAGCAGCGAACGGGUGAGUAACGCGUGGGGAAUCUGCCUUUGAGCGGGGGACAACAUUUGGAAACGAAUGCUAAUACCGCAUAAAAACUUUAAACACAAGUUUUAAGUUUGAAAGAUGCAAUUGCAUCACUCAAAGAUGAUCCCGCGUUGUAUUAGCUAGUUGGUGAGGUAAAGGCUCACCAAGGCGAUGAUACAUAGCCGACCUGAGAGGGUGAUCGGCCGCAUUGGGACUGAGACACGGCCCAAACUCCUACGGGAGGCAGCAGUAGGGAAUCUUCGGCAAUGGACGAAAGUCUGACCGAGCAACGCCGCGUGAGUGAAGAAGGUUGUCGGAUCGUAAAACUCGGUUGGUAGAGAAGAACGUUGGUGAGAGUGGAAAGCUCAUCAAGUGACGGUAACUACACAGAAAGGGACGGCUAACUACGUG